rnacentral:rRNA from 1 species
UACGAAGGGGCGUAGCGUUGUUCGGAAUUAACUUGGGCGGUAAAGACGCACGUAGGCGGGAUAUUUAAGUUCAGGGGUGGAAAUACCCCACGAGCUCAACUCUGGAACUGCCUUUGAUACUGGGUAUCUUGAGUAUGGAAGAGGUAAGUGGAAUUCCGAGUGUAGAGGUGAAAUUCGUAGAUAUUCGGAGGGACACCAGUGGCGAAGGCGGCUUACUGGUCCAUUACUGACGCUGAGGUGCGAAAGCGUGGGGAGCAAACAGGAUUAGAUACCCCGGUAGU